rnacentral:rRNA from 1 species
AGAGUUUGAUCCUGGCUCAGAAUGAACGCUAGCUACAGGCUUAACACAUGCAAGUCGAGGGGCAGCAUGAUUCUAGCUUGCUAGAAUUGAUGGCGACCGGCGCACGGGUGAGUAACGCGUAUCCAACCUUCCCCUUAGUAGGGCAUAGCCCGUAGAAAUGCGGAUUAAUACCCUAUGUUGUUCGAAGCGGGCAUCUAAUUCGAACCAAAGGUUCUCCGCUAAGGGAUGGGGAUGCGUCUGAUUAGGAAGUAGGCGGGGCAACGGCCCACCUAUCCUUCGAUCAGUAGGGGUUCUGAGAGGAAGGUCCCCCACACUGGUACUGAGACACGGACCAGACUCCUACGGGAGGCAGCAGUGAGGAAUAUUGGUCAAUGGGCGGAAGCCUGAACCAUUUUUUUUUUUGUGCAGGAUGACGGCCCUACGGGUUGUAAACUGCUUUUACGGGGGGAUAAACGGCGGGACUUGUCCUGCCCUGCAGGUACCCCGUGAAUAAGGACCGGCUAAUUCCGUGCCAGCAGCCGCGGUAAUACGGAAGGUCCUGGCGUUAUCCGGAUUUAUUGGGUUUAAAGGGAGCGCAGGCUGCCCGUUAAGCGUGACGUGAAAUGCAGUUGCUCAACAUCUGCACUGCGGCGCGAACUGGUGGGCUUGAGUACACUGUAAGUGGGUGGAAUUCGUGGUGUAGCGGUGAAAUGCUUAGAUAUCACGAAGAACUCCGAUUGCAAAGGCAGCUCACUGUCGUGUCACUGACGCUGAGGCUCGAAGGUGCGGGUAUCGAACAGGAUUAGAUACCCUGGUAGUCCGCACGGUAAACGAUGGAUGCCCGCUGUUUGCCUUUCUGGCAAGCGGCCAAGCGAAAGCGUUAAGCAUCCCACCUGGGGAGUACGCCGGCAACGGUGAAACUCAAAGGAAUUGACGGGGGCCCGCACAAGCGGAGGAACAUGUGGUUUAAUUCGAUGAUACGCGAGGAACCUUACCCGGGCUUGAACUGCCGGCGAACGAUUCAGAGAUGAUGAGGCCCUUCGGGGCGCCGGUGGAGGUGCUGCAUGGUUGUCGUCAGCUCGUGCCGUGAGGUGUCGGCUUAAGUGCCAUAACGAGCGCAACCCCUGCCUACAGUUGCCAUCGGGUGAUAAAAAGGCACUCUGUAGGGACUGCCACCGCAAGGUGCGAGGAAGGUGGGGAUGACGUCAAAUCAGCACGGCCCUUACGUCCGGGGCUACACACGUGUUACAAUGGGGGGUACAGCGAGUCAGGCGCUGGCAACAUCGCCUUAAUCAUGAAAUCCCCCCUCAGUUCGGACUGGGGUCUGCAACCCGACCCCACGAAGCUGGAUUCGCUAGUAAUCGCGCAUCAUCCAGAGGGCGGUGAAUACGUUCCCGGGCCUUGUACACACCGCCCGUCAAGCCAUGAAAGCCUGGGGCGCCUGAAGUCCGUCACCGCGAGGGUCGGCCUAGGGUGAAACAGGUGAUGG